GCUUCCCGUCGCCGGCAGGACCGAGGAGCCCCCGAAAAAGCGCCAGAGAGUCCUGGACACGACUUGCAAUCUUGCAUUACAACGAAAACUUGGACCGCUGCCAAGCUGUGACGCAACAGGGCGAUCCAUGUUUCACGGUGACCACAUCAAAGGCACGGAAGGGACUCGCCACAGCACGUGAAAAGAAAACGGAUCCAACUUAUGAGUACGUUGGAAAGCUAGUCCGGGAGGUGAUGGCCAGCAACGAGCAGUGCACGUCCCUUGAUGAGGCAGCAAUAGCCAAGAAACGCAUCUUUCCGGCACCCAUGAAUGCCGCCUUUACGAGGCCUUCCAAAAGGGAACUCGUGGAGGCAAAGAGGUCCCGGUUCGGCCAGGUUACCCCGUGAGGGACCUCCUUAAAUCCCUCCUGUCACCCGUGCACUCGAUGGACACCUGCCUCGGCCAAGCGGGCGUUAGGAGGCAUGGUUAACACAUCGAAGGCACGGAAGGGACAUGCCACAGCACGAGAAAAGAAAACGGAUCCAACGUAUGAGUACGUUGGAAAGCUAGUCCAGGAGGCGAUGGCCAGCAACGAGCAGUGCACGUCCCUCGAUGAGGCAGCAAUAGCCAAGAAGCGCAUCUUUCCGGCACCCAUGAAUGCCGCCUUUACAAGGCCUUC